AUUAAAGUGGCAGAAAGAUGAAUGCGAGGAAUUUAAGCUUCCUUUAUGAUGAAACUCCUUUAAUA
rnacentral:tRNA from 1 species